ACAUUUUCUUUACUGUGCUUUUAG
rnacentral:piRNA from 1 species